rfam:Brachypodium distachyon strain Bd21 chromosome 1, whole genome shotgun sequence.
CAUAUACUCCCUCCGUCUCAUAUUAAGUGACUUUCUAUUACAUGUAUCUAGACGCUUUUUAGGCAUAGAUACAUCCAUAUUUGGACAAUUUGAGUCACUUAUAAUGGGACGGAGGGAGUAUCUA